rnacentral:rRNA from 1 species
CACGGGGGGAGCAAGCGUUGUUCGGAAUCACUGGGCGUAAAGGGCGUGUAGGCGGUCAGGUAAGUGGGAUGUGAAAUCCCCGGGCUCAACCUGGGAACUGCAUUUGUGACUGCAUCGCUGGAGUGCGGCAGAGGGGGAUGGAAUUCCGCGUGUAGCAGUGAAAUGCGUAGAUAUGCGGAGGAACACCGAUGGCGAAGGCAAUCCCCUGGGCCUGCACUGACGCUCAUGCACGAAAGCGUGGGGAGCAAACAGG